rnacentral:rRNA from 1 species
UAGGGAAUCUUCGGCAAUGGACGAAAGUCUGACCGAGCAACGCCGCGUGAGUGAAGAAGGUUCUCGGAUCGUAAAACUCUGUUGUUAGAGAAGAACAAGGACGUUAGUAACUGAACGUCCCCUGACGGUAUCUAACCAGAAAGCCACGGCUAACUACGUGCCAGCACCCGCGGUAAUACGUAGGUGGCAAGCGUUGUCCGGAUUUAUUGGGCGUAAAGCGAGCGCAGGCGGUUUCUUAAGUCUGAUGUGAAAGCCCCCGGCUCAACCGGGGAGGGUCAUUGGAAACUGGGAGACUUGAGUGCAGAAGAGGUGAGUGGAAUUCCAUGUGUAGCGGUGAAAUGCGUAGAUAUAUGGAGGAACACCAGUGGCGAAGGCGGCUCUCUGGUCUGUAACUGACGCUGAGGCUCGAAAGCGUGGGGAGCAAACAGG